rnacentral:rRNA from 1 species
UACGUAGGGGGCUAGCGUUGUCCGGAAUUAUUGGGCGUAAAGAGCUCGUAGGCGGUUUGUCGCGUCUGCUGUGAAAUCCCGAGGCUCAACCUCGGGUCUGCAGUGGGUACGGGCAGACUGGAGUCGGUGGGAGGGAAGAUGGAAUUCCUGGUGUAGCGGUGGAAUGCGCAGAUAUCAGGAGGAACACCGGUGGCGAAGGCGGGUCUCUGGGCCGAUACUGACGCUGAGGAGCGAAAGCGUGGGGAGCAAACGGG